GAGCGGACGUAGCAAUACGUCAGCGGCAGACGGGAGAGUAACACGUGGGAACGCGCCCUUCGGUUCGGAAUAACUCAGGGAAACUUGGGCUAAUACCGGAUACGCCCUUACGGGGAAAGAUUCAUUGCCGAAGGAACGGCCCGCGUCCGAUUAGCUUGUUGGUGAGGUAACGGCUCACCAAGGCGACGAUCGGUAGCUGGUCUGAGAGGAUGACCAGCCUCACUGGGACUGAGACACGGCCCAGACUCCUACGGGAGGCAGCAGUGGGGAAUAUUGGACAAUGGGCGCAAGCCUGAUCCAGCCAUGCCGCGUGAGUGAUGAAGGCCCUAGGGUUGUAAAGCUCUUUCAGCGGGGAAGAUAAUGACGGUACCCGCAGAAGAAGCCCCGGCUAACUUCGUG
rnacentral:rRNA from 1 species